GCUUAACACAUGCAAGUCGAGCGAGAAUCGUUUAUUGAAGGCUUCGGCUGGAAAUAGAUGAGGAAAGCGGCGAACGGGUGAGUAACGCGUGGGCAACCUGGCCUUAAGAAAAGGAUAGCCCCCGGAAACGGGGAGUAAUACUUUUUGAGAAUGAAAGAGGGCAUCCUACUUUCAUUCAAAGCGCAAGCGCUUAAGGAUGGGCCCGCGUAUCAUUAGCUAGUUGGUGAGAUAACAGCCCACCAAGGCAACGAUGGUUAGCCGGUCUGAGAGGGCGAACGGCCACAUUGGAACUGAGAGACGGUCCAAACUCCUACGGGAGGCAGCAGUGGGGAAUAUUGCGCAAUGGAGAAGAACUCUGACGCAGCAAUACCGCGUGAGCGAAGAAGGUCUUCGGAUCGUAAAGCUCUGUUAUCAGGGAAGAAGAAAAUGACGGUACCUGAUGAGCAAGUCCCGGCUAACUACGUGCCAGCCGCCGCUGUAACAC
rnacentral:rRNA from 1 species